AUCAAGUAAGAUUAGUAUUCAAUAAAAUUGAAAUAAUGCUUGGAAGAUUACUAUGGCCCUUGUAUAAGGAGGAUAUGUAUAAAUCAAUAAAUGAUCCAACUACUA